rnacentral:rRNA from 1 species
AGAACGAACGCUGGCGGCAUGCCUAACACAUGCAAGUCGAACGAGACCUUCGGGUCUAGUGGCGCACGGGUGCGUAACGCGUGGGAAUCUGCCCUUGGGUUCGGGAUAACAGUUGGAAACGACUGCUAAUACCGGAUGAUGACUUCGGUCCAAAGAUUUAUCGCCCAAGGAUGAGCCCGCGUAGGAUUAGCUUGUUGGUGAGGUAAGAGCUCACCAAGGCGACGAUCCUUAGCUGGUCUGAGAGGAUGAUCAGCCACACUGGGACUGAGACACGGCCCAGACUCCUACGGG